rnacentral:rRNA from 1 species
ACUGAGAGGUUGAACGGCCACAUUGGGACUGAGACACGGCCCAGACUCCUACGGGAGGCAGCAGUGGGGAAUAUUGCACAAUGGGGGAAACCCUGAUGCAGCGACGCCGCGUGGAGGAAGAAGGUCUUCGGAUUGUAAACUCCUGUUGUUGGGGAAGAUAAUGACGGUACCCAACAAGGAAGUGACGGCUAACUACGUGCCAGCAGCCGCGGUAAAACGUAGGUCACAAGCGUUGUCCGGAAUUACUGGGUGUAAAGGGAGCGCAGGCGGGAAGACAAGUUGGAAGUGAAAUCUAUGGGCUCAACCCAUAAACUGCUUUCAAAACUGUUUUUCUUGAGUAGUGCAGAGGUAGGCGGAAUUCCCGGUGUAGCGGUGGAAUGCGUAGAUAUCGGGAGGAACACCAGUGGCGAAGGCGGCCUACUGGGCACCAACUGACGCUGAGGCUCGAAAGUGUGGGUAGCAAACAGGAUUAGAUACCCUGGUAGUCCACACCGUAAACGAUGAUUACUAGGUGUUGGAGGAUUGACCCCUUCAGUGCCGCAGUUAACACAAUAAGUAAUCCACCUGGGGAGUACGACCGCAAGGUUGAAACUCAAAGGAAUUGACGGGGGCCCGCACAAGCAGUGGAGUAUGUGGUUUAAUUCGACGCAACGCGAAGAACCUUACCAAGUCUUGACAUCCCUUGACAGACAUAGAAAUAUGUAAUCUCUUCGGAGCAAGGAGACAGGUGGUGCAUGGUUGUCGUCAGCUCGUGUCGUGAGAUGUUGGGUUAAGUCCCGCAACGAGCGCAACCCUUAU